UACGUAGGGUGCGAGCGUUGUCCGGAAUUAUUGGGCGUAAAGAGCUUGUAGGCGGUUUGUCGCGUCUGCUGUGAAAAUCCGGGGCUCAACCCCGGACCUGCAGUGGGUACGGGCAGACUGGAGUGUGGUAGGGGAGACUGGAAUUCCUGGUGUAGCGGUGAAAUGCGUAGAUAUCGAGAGGAACACCUGCGGCGAAGGCGGGUUGCUGGGCUGAUACUGACGCUGAGGCGCGAAAGCCAGGGGAGCGAACGGG
rnacentral:rRNA from 1 species